rnacentral:rRNA from 1 species
CCUACGGGUGGCUGCAGUGGGGAAUAUUGGACAAUGGGCGAAAGCCUGAUCCAGCCAUGCCGCGUGUGUGAAGAAGGCCUUCGGGUUGUAAAGCACUUUCAGUGGGGAAGAAAGCCUUGGGGCUAAUACCCUCGAGGAAGGACAUCACCCACAGAAGAAGCACCGGCUAACUCCGUGCCAGCAGCCGCGGUAAUACGGAGGGUGCGAGCGUUAAUCGGAAUUACUGGGCGUAAAGCGCGCGUAGGCGGUCUGAUAAGCCGGUUGUGAAAGCCCCGGGCUCAACCUGGGAACGGCAUCCGGAACUGUCAGGCUGGAGUGCAGGAGAGGAAGGUAGAAUUCCCGGUGUAGCGGUGAAAUGCGUAGAGAUCGGGAGGAAUACCAGUGGCGAAGGCGGCCUUCUGGACUGACCCUGACGCUGAGGUGCGAAAGCGUGGGUAGCAACCAGGAUUAGAUACCCGGGUAGUC